rnacentral:lncRNA from 1 species
AUCAUGAAUGAAACUGGAAAAAAAGACAUUUUAUUAAUAAAAUCAUAUAUUAUAGAAAAUACAAACAAACCUAUUAUAAAUGAAGGUAUAAAUCAAUGGUUGCCUUGAGGGCCAGAGAGGGGAGGGAGAGCUUAGAAAAAGGCCUGAGGUAAAUCCGAGGUGACUAAUAUGUUCAUUGUAAUAAUUAUAAUGAUGGUAUGUGUUUUUGACUAGGUUUGGUAACCCUACAUUAACUCUCUUUCCUGAUGACCUUGGAGGGACACCUUGCCUCAGUGGGCAGCAAAUAUUGGUAAUCAAUGAAACUGAUUUGAAUUCAUUUAAACACAGGAUGAUGGUAGGCUAUUGGAAUACACGAAACCUUUAGGUUGUUUAUUAUUUUUUGACAGUCACCUCAGCUACAAAAAAUACACAUGCCUGGAAAUUCUAAGAAUGUCUGUACACACUGAUCCUGCACAAUUACUAGAACAUAUUACAAGGAGCACAUUCCAUCUAGUUUGCUGCAGUCUCCUUCACUCCCUAGUAACCCAGUGUUUCCACACCAAUUAUGGCUCCCCCAUCAUUUUACAGUGACAGUAGCCUACUAAAUUGUAUUGGGGCACUUGGCUCCUUGGCAGCACCGGGGGUAGACUGCCUCAACAGUGCUGGGCAGUAUGUAAUAACCCUUGUGAAUAACAACAAAAUUCAUCUUGUUCCCAGAAGCAAUGGAAUUUGUCACAAUUUCCCACUUCCUCAGGGUGUCCUUUGAGCCCACAAAAAAUCCUGGCAUCCAGUCCACGAAUUAAGACCAUAAUAUCCUGCAGUAUUUCCUAGAAGGCCUUGGGCAAUAAUUCAAAUUCAGAUUAGGCCAAAGCUGGAAAGACAGUUGUAUUUUUCCAUUAUACUGUUGUCACUGAGGCAUAUGACACCUCCCUCUCCC